rnacentral:rRNA from 1 species
AGGGCACCACCAGGAGUGGAGCCUGCGGCUUAAUUUGACUCAACACGGGAAAGCUCACCCGGCCCGGACACUGGAAGGAUUGACAGAUUGAGAGCUCUUUCUUGAUUCAGUGGGUGGUGGUGCAUGGCCGUUCUUAGUUGGUGGAGUGAUUUGUCUGGUUAAUUCCGAUAACGAACGAGACUCUAGCCUACUAAAUAGAUCGUCGGCUUACAAACGCCGGCGAGACUUCUUAGAGGGACAGGCGGUGAUUCAACCGCACGAAACAGAGCAAUAACAGGUCUGUGAUGCCCUUAGAUGUCCGGGGCCGCACGCGCGCUACACUGAAGUGAUCAGCGUGCUUUUUCAACCUACUCUGUCGAGAGUGGGGAACCCAAUGAACCUUCUUCGUGAUUGGGAUAGGGGAUUGUAAUUAUUCCCCUUGAACGAGGAAUUCCCAGUAAGCGCGAGUCAUAAGCUCGCGUUGAUUACGUCCCUGCCCUUUGUACACACCGCCCGUCGCUACUACCGAUUGAAUGUUUU